CCUGCUGCCCGGGGCUCCCCCGAGUCAAGGAAUCCCGGGCGCAGGCCCCGCGUGGGCACCGACCCGCGGAGGGCGGCGUCGCACAGCGCCCGCCUGGCCUGCUCUCGCUGGCGCUCCCCGGGGGCCUCGCGUCCCCUCCCUCCAUGUGGCCACCGCAGUCAAACGGCCGAGGCUGGAGAGCGGGAGCAGUGGGAGGGGGCGGGGACGCGCUUCUCGCCGAGGCUUUUGGGACAUAAAGCACCCAAGAGGGAGCAGGAAAACGGCAGAGGUCUGCGGAAAUCCAGCGGCAUCUUGCUGGUCGUCAGUUUCCCACGGCCUGCGCCGUGUGCACAGCUACCUGAUUUUAAUGCAGAGAAAAGAGCUGGACCUUGGACAGGGUGAUCUUGAUGUGGGGAGCAGGAGGGUUGAAUGAAUAAACCUGAGAGAUGGACCAUGGAAUAUGGAGAAAGCAUAAAGAACCCAAACAUAAUUCUGAAUUUAUUCUUUGCAGAAGACCAAAGACAAUGAAAAAAAGGCAUGUUCCUUCUGUCAGUCAUUCCCAUAUUUGUUUUUUUACUGAGUUAUCUCUAGCUGG